GUUUUGAUACAUUUUAAUGAUUAUAUGCAAUAAAAAUAGUUAACACCAAGCAGGAGCUUGUGGCUGUCUAAUAGGCAAUUCCAGCUUUUAAUUUAUGUGCGCAGGGGGUGACGGGAAGUAAGGUAUCAUAUUGCUGAUUAUGCUGAAAAAUUUCCAAUAAAAACUGCCGAAACAACCAAAAUAUUUCAAUAUUUACAAGUAUAAACUAUCACUCUGUGUUUACACGGCCGCCAUUUUAAUUUUUCAGCAUAAUCAGCAAUAUGAUACCUUACUUCCCAUCACCCCCUGCACGCAUAAACUAAAAGCUGGAAUUGGCUCUUUA